rnacentral:rRNA from 1 species
GACGAACGCUGGCGGCGUGCUUAACACAUGCAAGUCGAACGGUAAACGAGGGAGCUUGCUCCCUCCGGGUCAGUGGCGAACGGGUGAGUAACACGUGAGCAAUCUGCCCCGAACUCUGGGAUAAGCGUUGGAAACGACGUCUAAUACCGGAUACGACGCGGGAGGGCAUCCUCUCCGCGUGGAAAGAACUUCGGUUCGGGAUGAGCUCGCGGCCUAUCAGCUUGUUGGUGAGGUAACGGCUCACCAAGGCGACGACGGGUAGCCGGCCUGAGAGGGUGACCGGCCACACUGGGACUGAGACACGGCCCAGACUCCUACGGGAGGCAGCAGUGGGGAAUAUUGCACAAUGGGCGCAAGCCUGAUGCAGCAACGCCGCGUGAGGGACGACGGCCUUCGGGUUGUAAACCUCUUUUAGCAGGGAAGAAGCGAAAGUGACGGUACCUGCAGAAAAAGCACCGGCUAACUACGUG